rnacentral:rRNA from 1 species
UACGGAGGGUGCGAGCGUUAAUCGGAAUUACUGGGCGUAAAGCGCGCGUAGGCGGUUUGUUUAGUCGGAUGUGAAAGCCCCGGGCUCAACCUGGGAAUUGCAUUCGAUACUGGCAGACUAGAGUAUGGUAGAGGGUAGCGGAAUUCCCGGUGUAGCGGUGAAAUGCGUAGAUAUCGGGAAGAACACCAGUGGCGAAGGCGGCUACCUGGACCAAUACUGACGCUGAGGUGCGAAAGCGUGGGGAGCAAACAGG